UACGUAGGGGGCGAGCGUUGUCCGGAUUCAUUGGGCGUAAAGCGCGCGCAGGCGGCGAGGCGAGCCCGGCGUGAAAGCCCCCGGCUCAACCGGGGGAGGUCGUCGGGGACCGCCUGGCUAGAGGCCGGUAGGGGCGAGCGGAAUUCCCGGUGUAGUGGUGGAAUGCGUAGAGAUCGGGAGGAACACCAGUGGCGAAGGCGGCUCGCUGGGCCGGUCCUGACGCUCAGGCGCGAAAGCGUGGGGAGCGAUCCGG
rnacentral:rRNA from 1 species